rnacentral:rRNA from 1 species
UACGAAGGGGGCUAGCGUUGCUCGGAAUCACUGGGCGUAAAGCGCACGUAGGCGGAUUGUUAAGUCAGGGGUGAAAUCCUGGAGCUCAACUCCAGAACUGCCUUUGAUACUGGCGAUCUUGAGUCCGGGAGAGGUGAGUGGAACUGCGAGUGUAGAGGUGAAAUUCGUAGAUAUUCGCAAGAACACCAGUGGCGAAGGCGGCUCACUGGCCGGUACUGACGCUGAGGUGCGAAAGCGUGGGGAGCAAACAGGG